AUUGAACGCUGGCGGCAGGCCUAACACAUGCAAGUCGAGCGGAUGAAGAGAGCUUGCUCUCUUAUUUAGCGGCGGACGGGUGAGUAAUGCCUAGGAAUCUGCCUGGUAGUGGGGGAUAACGUUCCGAAAGGAACGCUAAUACCGCAUACGUCCUACGGGAGAAAGCAGGGGACCUUCGGGCCUUGCGCUAUCAGAUGAGCCUAGGUCGGAUUAGCUAGUUGGUGAGGUAAUGGCUCACCAAGGCUACGAUCCGUAACUGGUCUGAGAGGAUGAUCAGUAAACAUGGAACGGAGAGACGGUCCAGGCUCCUACGGGAGGCAGCAGAGGGGAAUAUUGGACACUGGGCGCAAGCCUGAUCCAGCCAUGCCGCGUGUCUGAAGAAGGCCUUCGGGUUGUAAAGGACUUUUGUCCGGGAGCAAAUGCCUGGUGUUAAUAGCACUGGGAGCUGAGAGUACCGGAAGAAUAAGCACCGGCUAACUACGUGCCAGCCGCCGCCGUAAAAC
rnacentral:rRNA from 1 species